UUCAAGCAUUUUAUUAUACAAGAUAAGGAAUAUCCACAUUGUUGCACAUUCCAGCUUGUAUACAAUUAUAAUGGCAUAUCACUUGUUCACAAGAUAUAGCUGAGCAAUAGGUUGAGAAGUUUAAUUAAGCCAUCAUUAGCCAAGUAAGAUUUCAAGAACAUUCAAAGAGGAAACACAGUAAAGGUUAUACAAGUUCUAGAAUAGUGAAUCAUGACAGUUCACUCCUUUAAUCCUUUACCCUAGAAAUGUACAUUCAUAUCUAUAACCAGAAAAAAAUAUGAAGACCAGCAAGUAUCACCAGUCAAAUCUACAUUUCAUUCAGGAAUAGUAAGCCUUUUACUACCUCUUUGAACUCCACCUUAACCAUAGAAAGAGUUCUUAAAAGCAAUUUACUGCUGUAAAAUGUAUGCCCAUUAUUCAUAGUAUGCCUUGAAGUCACUGAGCUUUUAUUAAAGUAUGAUGAUGAAGCAUGAUACUCAACCAGGAAUCCCAGCAAUGACCUUUUUACUUACCUACACUAAAUAUCAUUCAAGAUAAAACACUGUAAAGACUAAAUAGACCCGAGUAGUGAAAUAAUUCAGUGAUGCUGUAAUAAUCCAGUUCUAUUAUUAACUUAGGUAAGUGACACCAAGUUUAAAGAGCCUUAAGAGACCCUCUGGACUUUUUCUUAGGUGACAAUAUUGAACUGCCCAGGUAACAAACAGCUGAUUAGAGUAGAAAACUAAGCCUUUACUCACGUAGUCUCAAACUUUUUGUUCCUAUCUACAUUAACUUAUGACCACCAUGUACUAAUGGGUAGAUAGGUAGGUAUGAUCAAAGAUCCUUUUGCAAGCCAGCUCCCCACAUCCUUCACUCUCCUUCUCCCCUCCCCCCUCCCCACCUCCUAUGCAAAUUUCCCCUGCUUUAAGCUGAAAGGUCAAUUCUGGAUUCAAGCUUGAAUGAACUAAGGUUAUAGGAGAUAACAUGCAUAUAGGGGAUAAAGUUAAAUUCAUUUGUCAAUAGCAAACAUUAUAAAUGUGUGCUACUAUUCUGCUAAACAGAAGACCCAGAGAAACCAUAAAUGUAACAUAACACCACAUCAGGUUUAAAAACAACCUUUGAAUCAACAAAAAGAAUCUUGAAGGAAGUAGUUUUAUUUUACCAUGGUUGAAUUUACCCACCAAAUGUUUAAUGACCACAAAAUGUUUCUGCAACUAAAACUAAAAGAUAGAGAAUUAUAGGGAGCUAGAAAUAUAUGUUAGAUACUAACGAUCUUCAAGCUUUUAAGAUGUCAUUGCAUGAAGAAAAUUAUGGGAAACACUGUUCCCGAUAAUUACGUACACCCUUAGUGUAACAUAUGGAGAUCACUGUCUCCGAUAUAGACACUGUGGUAGGCAAAAACUACCUUGUUCUUUAUGCAUUAUGGAAGACACUGCUCCCGAUAAUGUAAGUUAGGUUUGUGACAAAGGUACUGGAAAUUUUGCAAAUUUUGAACUAAAAUUAUAUUUUGAAUAAACUGAUCUGUAAAAUUUUCCUUGUAAGUGCUAUCACAGCCUUUAAGUGAAAUUAAUUUAUAACUUGGUCACAACUCAGUAUUUUAGGGAAACAACCAUUUUUAGCUACUUGGCUAAAUAAAAGUCUAACUUGAUUAGCAAUCUCUAAUUAAAUUUAAGUCUCUAAUAUUUAGCUUUACAUUUUUAUUUGAGGCUGUUUUCUAAAACCCCAUUUUCUAAAACAAGUAUUGACCAUUAUAAAUGCAAAACUUCCAGUAUCUGUUGGGUUUUAUUAGCAGAUGCUGCUUUUAUUUAAAAAAACAAAACAAAAACGACAGUAUAACUGUCAUAAUUAUGGAAGGCACUGCUUCCGAUAAUUAUCUUCUAUAAAAA